rnacentral:rRNA from 1 species
GACGAACGCUGGCGGCGUGCUUAACACAUGCAAGUCGAACGGAAAGGCCCUGCUUUUGUGGGGUGCUCGAGUGGCGAACGGGUGAGUAACACGUGAGUAACCUGCCCUUGACUUUGGGAUAACUUCAGGAAACUGGGGCUAAUACCGGAUAGGAGCUCCUGCUGCAUGGUGGGGGUUGGAAAGUUUCGGCGGUUGGGGAUGGACUCGCGGCUUAUCAGCUUGUUGGUGGGGUAGUGGCUUACCAAGGCUUUGACGGGUAGCCGGCCUGAGAGGGUGACCGGCCACAUGGGGACUGAGAUACGGCCCAGACUCCUACGGGAGGCAGCAGGGGGGAAUAUUGCACAAUGGGCGGAAGCCUGAUGAAGCAACGCCGCGUGCGGGAUGACGGCCUUCGGGUUGUAAACCGCUUUCGCCUGUGACGAAGCGUGAGUGACGGUAAUGGGUAAAGAAGCACCGGCUAACUACGUG